rnacentral:tRNA from 1 species
GCGCCCGUAGCUCAACUGGAUAGAGCAACGGUCUUCGGAACCGUAGGUUGGGGGUUCGAUUCCCUCCGGGCGCG